rnacentral:rRNA from 14 species
CACGGCACUCGAAGCGUGUCGUGGUAUUUCGCGUAUUGUAAUUUCAACACGAGCGGGGUCAAAUCCUUUGCAGACGACUUAGCUGUGCGAAACGGUCCUGUAAGCAGUAGAGUAGCCUUGUUGUACGAUCUGCUGAGGGUAAGCCGUCC